ensembl:antisense 4732440D04Rik RIKEN cDNA 4732440D04 gene
GGAAGUCGCUGGGCUGGCCGGACGGGCGCGGCUCGGUCGGCGAGCGUAGUCCCUGGCUGGCAACUUGUCUGUCCUUCCCUGACCCUGGAAGGUAUUUCGGUGCUUGCCUUGGACGGCCCCAAGGUGAGCGUGACCUUCUGGCCGCGGCAGACCGACCUCGCCAAACCUGGGGCAGCCCCAACAGGGGAACCGGAGGCUGACGAGUGAGCACCAGCACAGAUCUGGGGCCCUCAUCUGCUGCCCCGAAAUCAGCCGACUGUCACCUGGGCCACUCGUACCGGGACUGCCAGAAUGGCAGGCUACUCGGAAAGUAUGCCUGGCAUCUUUGCAAGGGUGGGGCGGCCCAGAGUCAGACCAGGACUGACGUCGUGGGAGGAGAGAACCACUCCUUGAAGUUCACACACACUAAAAAG